rnacentral:rRNA from 1 species
AACACGUGAAGAAUCUGCCUUCAACUCUGGGAUAACUCCGGGAAACCGGGGCUAAUACCGGAUAUGAGCCUUGAUCGCAUGAUCGGGGCUGGAAAGUUUUUCGGUUGAAGAUGACUUCGCGGCCUAUCAGCUUGCUGGUGAGGUAAUGGCUCACCAAGGCGACGACGGGUAGCCGGCCUGAGAGGGCGACCGGCCACACUGGGACUGAGACACGGCCCAGACUCCUACGGGAGGCAGCAGUGGGGAAUAUUGGGCAAUGGAGGAAACUCUGACCCAGCGACGCCGCGUGAGGGAUGAAGGCCUUCGGGUUGUAAACCUCUUUCAGUAGGGAGGAAGCGAAAGUGACGGUACCUACAGAAGAAGCACCGGCUAACUAUGUGCCAGCAGCCGCGGUAAUACAUAGGGUGCAAGCGUUGUCCGGAAUUAUUGGGCGUAAAGAGCUCGUAGGUGGUUCGAUACGUCGGAUGUGAAAAUCAGGGGCUCAACCCCUGACCUGCAUCCGAUACGGUCGAGCUGGAGUUUGGUAGGGGAGACUGGAAUUCCUGGUGUAGCGGUGGAAUGCGCAGAUAUCAGGAGGAACACCGAUGGCGAAGGCAGGUCUCUGGGCCAAUACUGACACUGAGGAGCGAAAGCGUGGGGAGCGAACAGGAUUAGAUACCCUGGUAGUCCACGCCGUAAAC